UUUGCUAAACCCCUAACCCUGCAUAGGGCCCAGCACACAGUGAGCGAAUGUAUGAAUAUAUGCUACUGAUUUACAAGAAGAAUCAUUUAGUUCUCAUUUUCCAGACCAAUGAGACUACAAGUUCCCUUAAAAGGAAAGAGGAUUUUUUACUUUCCUAGUCUCCAAAAUCAUGGCAGGGAUUCAGUAGUCAUUGAAAAAACAUCGAAUGAAUGAAAAUAAUCAGCAUCCCUCUCUCAAUCUAGGGAGAACCUCCAUCCUUCCUAAGACCCCACAAUAACUCUUGGAGGGAAAUGAGUGGUGUGGGUUUGGGGGAGAGGUAUCCUCUCUGUCUGCGCUGUAAGAAUGUUAGGUAAGGCUGGAAGCUCAGGGACUGGUCCUCUAAUGCCAGGUUCCUGGUUCUCUCUGUGCAUUCCCUCCAUAGAACAUUCUGUGGUCAUGGAGAUGAUCAUUACCAUAAGCGGGCUGUUUGAGUGAGGACUCCAGGAAGGCCUUUCAGGAAGGCAACUCUUCCUGAAAGAGUGCAUGGCGACUCUUCACCCUGUCACUCAUCUCCUCAUCUACUUACUUGCCUAUUCAUGUGUUUACUCAUGUUUGUACUUGUUGAUUUAUUUUUUUAGCAUCUUUGUAGAAGACUAAACUGCUGAGCUGGACAGAAGCCACCUGACGCACUAGGCACGGAAAGCCUUACCACGGAAGAAAUCGCCAAUUUUCUUUCAAAUGCUGCGUAUUGGGAAGAUUUGCAAAGCAUUCAUCAGAUGAACAGAUUUCAAAGAGCUACUACCAAUUUUUUUUCCUUAAGAAAUACACCAAGCAUCUAAUUUGCUGCUGAUAAAUUCUCUGACUAAAAUUCCAGGAAAGGACAUACAUUUGACUGCCCCCAGGCCCACAUUUCACCUUCUACAUGCAGGGCUCACCUGCUCCCUCGUCCAGCUUGCCUAUCCAGGCUCUCACCCCCGUCUGUUUAUGUAAGACCCCUCUCUUAUUUAGCCAUGGUUCAAAAGAGUAUGUGGCCAUGCUGGAAGUGCACUAGGACAUCAAAUAUGCCAGGAUGAAUUCUAUGUGACGAAUCCCUCCACAGUAUUUUUAAAAUGGUUUGUCCUUACGAGGGUCUGUUCCAGGAUCUGAAUCAC